CAUGUAGUAAUGAAGACCAGGAAUAUCUGUAAAUAGUACGGUCGGUCACUUGGAGUCAAUGUUCCAUCUUUUAAAGUUUAUUGUUUCUAGCUGACAGUUAAUUUAGGGGAUUACCUAGUGAAUAGGAGUUUAGAUGAUAGUUUCAGUUACUGCUACGAAUACGGGAAGGGUGACUGGAGAAGCAUUUCAAGAAAUGUAGUGGUGACAAGGACGCCAACACAAGUGGCCAGUCAUGCUCAAAAAUACUACCUUAGACAGCAAUCAAUGAAGAAAGAACAGAAAAGGUCGAGCAUACAUGACAUAACGACUACUGUGGAUACAAAGACAGUGCCUCCUCAAAACAGUCUUCAGAGUCAAGGAGGGUAUCAGAAUUUCAACUUCCCCAUGUAGUAAUGAAGACCAGGAAUAUCUGUAAAUAGUACGGUCGGUCACUUGGAGUCAAUGUUCCAUCUUUUAAUGUUUAUUGUUUCUAGCUGACAGUUAAUUUAGGGGAUUACCUAGUGAAUAGGAGUUUAGAUGAUAGUUUCAAUUACUGCUACAAGCUAAAGGGGUGUACUUAUGGAUGGCAUAGUUGAAAAGCACAUGGAGGUUUACAUGUAAUUAAACAGAUUUAAGGGAAAUCAUUAGUAUUUUGGUUUCAGAACAAGUUGAAUUUUACUUUGCUUAUUAUUG
rnacentral:lncRNA from 1 species